UACGAAGGGGGCAAGCGUUGCUCGGAAUCACUGGGCGUAAAGGGUGCGUAGGCGGGUUCUUAAGUCAGAGGUGAAAUCCUGGAGCUCAACUCCAGAACUGCCUUUGAUACUGAGAGUCUUGAGUAUGACAGAGGUGAGUGGAACUGCGAGUGUAGAGGUGAAAUUCGUAGAUAUUCGGAAGAACACCAGUGGCGAAGGCGGCUCACUGGUCCGGUACUGACGCUGAGGUGCGAAAGCGUGGGGAGCGAACAGG
rnacentral:rRNA from 1 species